rnacentral:misc_RNA from 1 species
AAAUCAUUCACCAAAACCACAACUACAACAAUCCUCCAAAAAUCUCAUUACAAAACCCCCUUUUCUUGAUUUUCUCAAGAAAAUCCAAAGUUGUUAGCUUUUUGAAGAAAAAAAAAAUCAAUCUUUUUGGUUUUAAGUGGAGAUGCUGCACUUGUUCUUUGCAGUGGCGUUUUCUGCAGUGCCUUUGACUCUGUAUAUACCUCCGAUGAGAAGCUUGAAUCUUUUUGUGGAAACUAUGGAGGAUCUUUGUAGGGAAUCAAGUGUUUAUACAGGAAGGAUGUAUCCAAGGCUACGACAUGUUUGGGCUAGGUUCUUGAAUUGUAUGUUUUGUGUCACUACAAGGUAGAUUUAUUCAAGAUUCACUAAACUUGAACCCCCUCUGUAAAUAAUAUGUUUUUUUUUUCAAUUUUCAAGUUUCAGCCUUACAAUAUAACUCUGGGUUUGUGGAUUUGUUUGGUGGUUCUCUCUGCAAGGCUUUGUUUUUUUGUUUCAGAGAUUUGAUGGUUCAUGUUAAAUCAAAGUGCAUUAAUAAAGAAAGGGUAAUUAUUGGUUGCAAUUGUUUUUGUUUCUAUGCAUAAUUCAAAAUUAGUUUAUAAUGUUUUGUUAA